AGAAAGCUCUGUGCCCCCCGUGAGGAGCUCUGUGCCCCCCGUGAGGAGCUCUGUGCCCGCAGGGGCCGCCGUUACCCGCCUCCCCUCCAGCUCACCUCACGAGUGUCGCCCCCUCCCCAGGGCUGGCGGCCCUUUCCCGCACCGCGCCCUGCAGCUCCCGCCCGACCUGCUGCUAUCUUGUCCCGUGCAUCAAGAUACACCCAUCUGGAUGCAUUCGCUCGCUCUGGCUGCCUGCGUUUUAGGUCCUGCCAAGCCGCUGCAGCACAGGCACAGUGCGAGCCUGCACCGCCGGCCCGCGCACCCCUGCUGCGGAGCUCAGCAGCGGCCCGAGCUGGGACAGGCUGUGAACCACCUCCAGCAAACAGCACCGAGCACGAGACGUGCUGCAAACACACUUCUCUGUACCCGUUAGCCUUAGUUGCAUCUCUCGAAUAUCUACAGUUGAGUUUCCAUGUUUGCAUGUGAAUAAACUGAAUAAAUCACAAGUAAAUGUGUUAUUACAACAGUCUACAUCAGGAGUUACUCCCACAUUUAUUCUGCAAUUAGACCUACAGCAGAGCAUGAGUUUGACUUGGAAUCAUUAUGCAUAACUGUACGUGUAUGUGUGUGUUUAAGAGAGGAAGAGUGUGCGGGAUGGUGGCUCUUUUUUGAAAGCAGAUUCUGAGUCGAUUUCCGGGAGGCAACAUCUCUGUGAAAUGGAGGUUAUUGUGCGGGACUGGCCGCACUCCCUCUGCUCCACACACAAUCGCACACUUCACCCGAACCUGCGAGCGCCAUCAUCUUCAAGCAGCCAGUGACUGCAGUUCAGGGUUUAUUACUACUACAGAGGCAGGCGUUUCUUGCCAAACAGUGCUGAGUGAUGUGCGGUGAUUUUGUGAUCUUAUCCAGGGAUUAGGGAGUUGGAGCUAAACUCAUUUUCCUUGGAGUCACAUAUUGGCCUCAAACCAUGGUUCGUGGACCGUGCUGAUAAAAAGCAAAUGAUUUUAUUCAGUUCACAUUAAAUUCAAACUUCAGCCCCUGGAGACCUACAGAAAUAAUGUAUUAACACUUAUCUUACAGAGCGGAACUCUUCUAGGAACAGCAAUCCUUCAGCAGCUGAGCAGGGGGAAUGCUGAGCCUCUCAGGAGCCUGGUGCUGCAGUCCCGUUGAGUCUUGAAUGUUGGGAGUGUGGUUUUCGGGGACGUUGUGUGCGCUGCUCCCCGAGAGUCUCAGGAAUAACACUUGUACAUAAGAAAGUUAAUUUAAAUCUUCAUCGUUGCUGAAGAGAAAACUGAAAGGCUGAAGGUCAUCCCCGUUACCUGCGAGAUUUCCUGCAGCUUUCAGCAGGUUGUUCUCCCAGGGGACAGAAUGAGAAGUUGGUGGGUGAGGGGCACAGGAGUCGUAGAGACCUGGACUGGUUUUUAAUAAUUCACCCCCCGCCCUCCCAUAGUACACGUAGCAGCAGGAUCAUUUACUGUUGGUGAUGUGCUGAUUGCACAAAGGAACAUUUGCCUCCUAUGUGUGAUGCUAAGAAAAUCUUAUUUUUGCCGCAUCAUCAUUCAGUGUCACAAAUACACUAGAAGACUUUGGAAAAUUAAAACCCGGAAGAUGAAAUACACCGUAAGGAAACAGGUGGAUGUGUCACAGAGGAAAGGAAGAUAUAAGAACUUCUUUCUAACGCUGAAUCUUUGUGGUGGAGUGUAUUGUGGAUCCUAGCAAUGAAAUAGAGCACAUUUUUCUCCAAAGUUAUAUGCUUAUAAAUAUCUCAAAUAUUUGUUUGGUCAUUGUUUGACCAGAAACAGGGUUUGCAGUGCGCAGAGCCCCGUGUGCUGCCGCAGCUCCAGCUCUGGGCGCAGGACGCGGGCUGACGCCCCCCGAGCCGGCAGCAGCUCCUCUGGUCCCUGCUGGUGUCCCAGAGCUCUCCCUUCUGUCCCGUGGCACCCGGUAUUCAUACUCGGUUCAUUUUACCUCUGUCUAAAUGUUUUCUUGUGUUCUGCUGCCUGUCUUCUGUGGUGAGUCAAGGGAAAGCUAACUUCCCAAAUAUGUGCUCAUCCUGUUGUUCUGAAGUGCUCACAUUUGAAGGAGAGAGAUGAAAAAUGUGUGCCUUAUCUUUAUUUCUGUAUGGGAGAAUAGCUGUUGUGACAAAUGUCUGUUAGGAAAUAAUGGAUUUCACACUUCACAUGUGUGUUUCACCAUUUUUCACUGCAAUUAGAAAAGUAAUUCAUAAUACCAGUCAGUUCUUCCCCAGGCUGUUACGGGUGCCCACUCAGAGCGGCCCCGCGGAGCCCUGCUCUGGGAAACGAGGUGCUCGACGCGAACCCUGCGUGCUGCGGGUCUCAGGCUAGCGAGCAGCAGGUCACUGGCUCUGGUGGUUUGGGCUGGAAUGGUUAAGAACUCUGGGUUUGUGCGAUGCAAUGCGUUUUCCUCUUUCAUUAACUGGCAAUGAAUAAAUGUUGGUGGAAAUGUAAAAUAAAGUUAUAAAUAAUA